rnacentral:rRNA from 1 species
GGGGGGGGGGGGGGGGGGGGGGGGGGGGGGGGGGUGUUUGGGGGGGCUGGGGGUGCGCGGCCUGGCCAGGGCGGACGGGUGAGUGACGCGGACGGGACGUGCCCUGCAGUCAGGGGUAACAGCCGGAAACGACUGGUAAGACCUGGUACAGUCAGGCGGCCUCAUGUCCAGCCUGCGUAAAAGUGAUGCUGCAGGAGAGCCUUGCGUCCUAUUAGCUUGUUGGUGUGGUAACGGCCCACCAAGGCGAUGAUAGGUAGCCGGCCUGAGCGGGUGGACGGCCACAAGGGGACUGAGAUACGGCCCUUACUCCUACGGGAGGCAGCAGUGGGGAAUAUUGGACAAUGGGGGCAACCCUGAUCCAGCAAUUCUGUGUGCACGAUGAAGGUUUUCGGAUUGUAAAGUGCUUUCAGCAGGGAAGAAAAAAAUGACGGUACCUGCAGAAGAAGCGACGGCUAAAUACGUG